UUUAGGGGAAGUCAGAGCCACGAGAUGGAAGGAGCUUGGAUCUCCGAACUGUUCCAUGGAGAAGAGCUGCAGUCAGUGAAGAGCACCUGCAGUGGACUCUGAACCUGGGGGUGACGAGAACCACUGAAAUGUUUACUGCACUUGCCUCUAGCAAGUUAUGGCAUUCUGUGCCACUCAAGUCCUCUAUCUGUUGCAAAAAUGUGCAUCCCAAGAUGGUGCUCUUGAGCUGUGGUGGAAUAUCUUCAGACAGACACUAUGGGACCCACAAUGAAGCAAUUGAGAAAAAGGACACCCCUAAAGAACCACCAGGGUGCAGCAUUCCUGAGUGGCAGAAGCCAUGCAGGAAAUCGCGAUGCUGCACCUUAGUCCAGGGAUUUUUAAAGUGUGGUUCCUGAAAGAGCUGUCUCAGAGUCAUCCGUGUUGAUGGUGUAACGUAAAGAUUUUCGGGCCUCAAGACUGAAGCAGGACAAGGAAUUUGAAGUUUUAAGCAGCUCACCUGACUUGUCUGUCCUCUAAUAUCUGAGAGCACCUGACUUCUGCUCUUUCGGUAAAGGCAACAAUGGUUUUAUGAGCACUGUCGUCACAUCUCUCCACUCUAGGGAUCCUUCUCAUUUCUCCCAGACGAGGUCACCCACAGCUGCUGCUUCUAACUGCUGGCUUCCAGCCUGCUGUCUGCCAGCUGGCUCUACCCUCUCCUAUAACACAGCAGAGAGUAGCUGUGAUCUCCUGUGUGCUCACUCUCCAUUCCCUUGGGUCCAUGUUUUGGUCCUGCACUUAAAUUUUACAAGCAUACUCUCUUUCUCUUAAGGUAAGCAACCAUUUUAAAUCUCAGCAGUAAACAAAACAA